rnacentral:rRNA from 1 species
CCUACGGGUGGCAGCAGUGGGGAAUAUUGGGCAAUGGGCGCAAGCCUGACCCAGCAACGCCGCGUGAAGGAAGAAGGCUUUCGGGUUGUAAACUUCUUUUCUCAGGGACGAAGCAAGUGACGGUACCUGCGGAAUAAGCCACGGCUAACUACGUGCCAGCAGCCGCGGUCAUACGUAGGUGGCAAGCGUUAACCGGAUUUACUGGGUUUAAAGGGCGUGUAGGGGGGAAAGCAAGGCAGAUGUGAAAACCAUGGGCUCAAACUGUGGCCUGUAUUUGAAACUGUUUUUCUUGAGUACUGGAGAGGCAGACGGAAUGCCUAGUGUAGCGGUGAAAUGCGUAGAUAUUAGGAAGAACGCCAGUGGCGAAGGCAGUCUGCUGGACAGCAACUGACGCUGAGGCGCGAAAGCGUGGGGAUCAAACAGGAUUAGAUACCCCAGUAGUC